CUCCAUUGCAGUAGUGCUUGUUACAGUUGCUUGCGAUUAGAAUAUUCGCAACAAUAGAUCUUGUAUCAUCACGGAUAUCAGAGAGACCGAAGGAAACUGAAUAACAAUCAUCAGAAGAUUGUUAAAAGAUUAUGACCAAAGUUUUCAAGUAAUAGAGUAAAAUGAAGUUAAUCAUUCUGCUGUUAUUACUGAUCAGUUUAGUUUCUUGUAAGCCCUGGCUUGAUCUAUGGUUUCCUCAGCAGUCCUACGACAAUCGAAAUACCGGAUAUUAUGCAAAUGGCCCGUAUCGUCAAAGUAGAGGUGGUAAGGAGCGCUGGAAACAAAUUUGUAGGACUAUAAAUGCGGAUUCAUAUGCAUUCCCAGGACGCGUGCCUUAUCCCGCCGCACCUGUUUGUCCAUGGUAAAAGAAAUUUCCGGUCGGAUUUCCGAUCUGUCGUGCCAAACGCAAGUGAGAAGAUAUCGUGCGUUAAAAAUAUGAAUUUAUUGUAACAACAUAGUUUUAGACAGUAUACGUCCACCGAUUAUGAGUAUUUCAGUCAGUAUGCGUGUACGUAUGUGUUCGUGACAAUGUUAGCAACAUAAUGCUAGUAUACAUACAAAUAUUCGUGAUUACAUAUAGCUACGUAUGCGUUCAUCAAAUAUGAAGCGAGGAAAUAAUUAUCCGCCAAUUGCAUCUUUUUGUAUGCGAACUUUAUUACUCCUCGCUUCUCGGUCCGUAUUCGCACUUAUUAAAUAUAAAAACAAGAAAAAGAAAUUAGAAACCAUAUCGUACUGUCAAAAAUAAUUUUCAGAGUUUCCAAACAAAGCUAAAGAAUAUGAUCGAAAGCUGUAAAAUGUAAUUUCUAGAUUUCUUUUUCAUUUUAAGAGUGUUCUAUCAUGCAAAGUCACUUCAUAUCUUCAGUAUAACUUUUAUUUAUCUUUCAGUUAAAUUUUUAGUACGCAUACGGAUCCACUAAUAUCUGUUAACUUAGAUAUAGUUCAAAGACUUAUCUAUCGAUCUGUGUAACAUCGACUUUCUAAGUCAUCACCUACAAAUCAGUAAUAUUCCAAGCUCUCUCUCUCUCUCUCUCUCUCUCUCUCUCUCUCUCUCUCUCU